AACAUGAAAAUUCGCUAGAAAAGUUCACUGGAAGUUCGCUGGGUUUUGGAACAAGUUCGCUGGAAAUUUCCAGCGAACUUCCAGUGAUCUUUAAAGAUCACUGGAAAAGUUCGCUGGAAGUUCGCUGGGUUUUGGAACAAGUUCGCUGGAAAUUUCCAGUGAACUUUAGAGAUCACUGGAAAAGAUCACUGGAAGUUCGCUGGGUUUUGGAACAUUUUUUCACUGGAAGUUCGCUGGGUUUUUUUGUUAGCAAAAGAUUUGAGAAUAAUGAGUAUUUUGAAAAAAAUCCAAAUGGAAGAUCACAUCAACACAGCAAAUCAGUUAUAAGAGAAGUUACAAGUAAAUUUUAUUGUUUCCGCUUGACUACAUGCACUUAGUAUAUCUUGUAUGUAUGCAUAGAUGCAUAGCUGCUACUGACUGCUGCAUUUCCUUAAAGAAACGAUCAAAGGAAAAAAUACUGGAAAGUUGUCAGCUAGUAUCAUUAAUCAAAUUUCUGAAAAUCUUGUUGCUUUGAUUGGUAAAUUACCAAGUGAGUUUGUCAGACAGCCAAGAACACUGAAUGAACUUAAUCAAUGGAAAGCUACCGAAUUCAGAUCUUUUGCUUUAUACUGGUAUAGUUGCAUUGAAAGGCUUCGUUGACAUUCUGUUUACUACCAUUUUUUAAGUCUGCUUGUUGCCAUAAGAUUUUUAUGUGAAAAUGAUAAUGUUGUGCGAACCUCAAACCUAGAAAAUGCUAGACAACUUAUUCGAUAUUUUGUUGUUAAUUCUGGUGAAGUUUAUGGAUAUUUGUUUUGUGCAUAUAAUGCACAUGGACUUUUGCAAAUUUGUGAUGAUGUAGAAUUUUACGGAGUCUCCCUUGAUAAAUUAUCUGCCUUUAAAUUUGAAAACUAUCUUUAGAAGUUAAAAAGAUUAGUAUGCAGCAAACAUAAUUCUUUGGCUCAAAUAUGUAAAAGAUUGGAUGAAAUGGCUGAUUACAACCAUGAUAAAAAAGCGACAAGCAGAAUGACCACAACCAAAAAAGACUAUUGUUUUUUAACUAAGGAUAGCGUUGUAUUUCUUCAAAAUUUGGUUGAUGAAGACCACUUUGAGUGUUUGUCUUAUAGCAUACAAUUCACAGAUGAUAACUUUACUUUGUUCCUUCACAGAAUAUUGGUAUUUGAUUUAUCAGGAAUACCACAAAACCUAGUUUUUACAUUAAAGAGAAAAUCAGAUUUUUACGGAUGUAUUUAUAUGAAAGUUAAAGAUUUGCUGUUUCUUCUUUGGUGCAUUCUGUCUAAAUGGAGAGAUUCACAAGAACGCAGCUGCUUAGUUAAAAAAUCUUAAUCGGAAGAAGCAAAAGUGAAUGGCGUGGUGCCAGUAAGAUGGUAUCGAUAUGAUCUAGUCUCAAUUAAGUUAGUCGCAGGUAAGUGUUUUAAAAAAGUUUGACCAUUUAUUUUUAGACCAAUUUUUUAAUGUAUUGUGCUUG